AUGAACGCUGGCGGCGUGCUUAACACAUGCCAGUCGCACGGUGAAGGCGGAGCUUGCUCUGCUGGAUCAGUGGCGAACGGGUGAGUAACACGUGAGCAAUCUGCCCCUGACUCUGGGAUAAGCGCUGGAAACGGCGUCUAAUACUGGAUACGAGCUGCGAAGGCAUCUUCAGCAGCUGGAAAGAACUUCGGUCAGGGAUGAGCUCGCGGCCUAUCAGCUUGUUGGUGAGGUAACGGCUCACCAAGGCGUCGACGGGUAGCCGGCCUGAGAGGGUGACCGGCCACACUGGGACUGAGACACGGCCCAGACUCCUACGGGAGGCAGCAGUGGGGAAUAUUGCACAAUGGGCGAAAGCCUGAUGCAGCAACGCCGCGUGAGGGACGACGGCCUUCGGGUUGUAAACCUCUUUUAGCAGGGAAGAAGCGAAAGUGACGGUACCUGCAGAAAAAGCGCCGGCUAACUACGUG
rnacentral:rRNA from 1 species